CUCUGUUUAGGACAUGAGAUCCUGGCGUUCAUCUUAAACUUUCAUCCCUCGGCCUCUGCCACUGCUUACCUCUGUAAGAAUCAAGGAUCCUGUGUGAUCUGCGAUUUAGCACAGGUCCCUGCUGCAUUUCCAGUACCCCGAACCCAGCCCAGAGCACACCCUCGGUCGGUGUUUGUGGAGAGGUUUGAAAUGACACGCCCCUGCUCCAGAGAAGCACCCAGUCUGCUGGAGGAGGUGGAGCAGAUACACACAGAAGCCUAGAAUAAGCUGGAAUGUGGAAAAGGGCCCCUGGACAGAGACACGAUGUCAUGGGCUUCUGAGAAGGACAAAACCACACAGGUUGGGGAAAGAGGAAUUCUUAGGGAAGGUGGCAGCUGAGAGGUUUACUCAGGUGGGGACAGGGGCCUCGUGACAGGUCUCUGGCCUCACCAGUCCUCUCCCCAUCAACCCCCUAUCACCCGCACUUGGCCAUCCCCAACCACACUCCUCUCUGCCCCUCGGCCUUUGCGUCUCCCUCUCCCUGGAA
rnacentral:lncRNA from 1 species